GUCCCUUCCAACUCUACGAUUCUGUGAUUGCUAAGGUUGGAGUCACAGCUAUCCUAUAGGAAUGCUGACCACGAGACAGAUGUUUGCCAAGAAGGGAAUCAUAGAAUCAUAGAGUUGGAAGAGAC